rnacentral:lncRNA from 1 species
GAAGCAACGGUGCCUGAGAGAUAAACAGUUUUUGGUAUUCUAGAAAUAGUGAAGUACUGAAGGAAGUUACCAUUCUUGCAGGUCUUUCAAAGGUGUAAAAGUUUAAACAAACCUCUGAUACAAUAAAUAAAUAAUCAAUAAAACUUAUAAUAGAAAGAAAAAUUCACAAGUCAGUAUUUGCAUACCUUAACCACUCUGUGGCAUUAUAGAUCAUGAAGUUUGUUUAAAACAAGAUGCAAGUGUCAUAUUAAAAGCAGAACAGUACAUGGACGCUGAAAAGAACAUCACCUUAGCAUUAAAAAAAAGGAAAAACAGCAGCGCUCCAUGCUUGGAGAAACACUGCAGAAAGCAAUGGCUCCAAGUGAAUCUCAGAGAGAUUAAGAAUUAAAUGUCACUCUCCUCCUCAGGAAGCAGCAUAGCGUACACUUGUAAAGGCCAUCCCAUUCUGAGCACUGUGAAAGCACUUGGUACAAGACUAUAACAAGGCAGUCAACUCACCAGCAAUUCAACAGUCAAGGUCAAAGCUAAAGGAAAUCUUUCAAUAUGGAUGAUACAUAAACAAACAAACAAAUAAAAGAAAAACCACCACAUACCCACUACCAAAAGGUUCCUUGGCAUAUCUAGUUCAAAACUGAAAGGCCUUACGCCUUCAUUUUUUUCCCCUCUCCAUCUCUAACACAUUACUCCAAACUUAAGCACUUGAAAGGUGGUGAAAACACGUUCGCUGUUAAGUUCGCAGUGAUCUGAUGGCUUUUUCCCCUGAAAUAGUUUCACUUAUUCAUGCCACAGAGUACUUACUUUUGAAUAUCGGCUUGAAAACUGUCAGCUGUUUGUACACUGAGCAGAAAUGAUUUCAUCCAUCUAAUAAAAAUCAUCAGCAGUAAGGGUAGGUACUCAAUACAUGCCCAGUGUAACCUUUUAGUACCUUGGGAGACCACGUACUGACAUGGAAUGAAAGACUCUACCGGAGGGAAAGAACCGACCUAGAGCAUUCUCCCAUCACCUGCUCUGUCAUAGAAAUGGCUGUCAAACCACCUUCACUAAAGUACUCAAUUACACAGUAAAAAUGUCAUUCAUUCUAUAAUCUCCAUCUGAGAAGAGAAUGGGGAAAUCAGAGAGGUUCCUCUGUAGAUAACUCAUCACUCAGGAUUCCCCUAAACGUAUGCAGUUCUUCUUUACUGAUGCUGAAGAAC